rnacentral:rRNA from 1 species
AUUGAACGCUGGCGGCAUGCCUUACACAUGCAAGUCGAACGGCAGCACGGGUGCUUGCACCUGGUGGCGAGUGGCGAACGGGUGAGUAAUACAUCGGAACGUACCUUAUCGUGUGGGAUAACGCAGCGAAAGCUGUGCUAAUACCGCAUACGCCCUGAGGGGGAAAGCGGGGGAUCGCAAGACCUCGCGCGAUUAGAGCGGCCGAUGCCUGAUUAGCUUGUUGGUGGGGUAAAAGCCCACCAAGGCGACGAUCAGUAGCUGGUCUGAGAGGACGAUCAGCCACACUGGGACUAAGACACGGCCCAGACUCCUACGGGAGGCAGCAGUGGGGAAUUUUGGACAAUGGGGGCAACCCUGAUCCAGCAAUGCCGCGUGAGUGAAGAAGGCCUUCGGGUUGUAAAGCUCUUUUGUCAGGGAAGAAACACCGGCUCUAACACAGUCCGGGAAUGACGGUACCUGAAGAAUAAGCACCGGCUAACUACGUGCCAGCAGCCGCGGUAA